rnacentral:rRNA from 1 species
UGGGGAAUAUUGGACAAUGGGGGCAACCCUGAUCCAGCGAUGCCGCGUGGGUGAAGAAGGCCUUCGGGUUGUAAAGCCCUUUAGGUUGGGAAGAAGGUUUGGGGAGGAUAAUGCCCCUAACUUGACUGUACUAACAGAAUAAGCACCGGCAAACUCUGUGCCAGCAGCCGCGGUAAUACAGAGGGUGCGAGCGUUAAUCGAAGUUACUGGGCGUAAAGGGCGCGUAGGCGGUGAGAUGGGUGUGAUGUGAAAGCCCUGGGCUUAACCUAGGAAGUGCAUCGCAAACUAUCUGACUGGAGUAUAAGAGAGGGUGGUGGAAUUUCCGGUGUAGCGGUGAAAUGCGUAGAGAUCGGAAGGAACGCCAAUGGCGAAGGCAGCCACCUGGCUUAAUACUGACGCUGAGGCGCGAAAGCGUGGGGAGCGAACAGG